rnacentral:lncRNA from 10 species
AGGAAGAGCUCUGGUCUGCAGCUCCCAGUGAGAUCGACACAGAAGUCUGGUGAACCGACGCCAUACCUGCAUUAGCACAAUAAGGAAUUGUGGAACCUCAACCAAUUUUCAGACUUAAGAUGCAAAGAUUUUGAAAGAAAGGAAGACAGCGUCUCUUUGAGGAUUGCUUCUAUGAGACCAAAUAUGUACACUCUAGCCCUAGCCCUAGUUGGCGGUGUCUCAACCCAGGGCAAUUUGCCCCCAAGAAGAUAUUUGCCAAUGUCUGCAGACAUUUUUGGUUGUCACGACUAGGAGCAUGCUACUGACAUCUAAUAGAUAGAAUCCAGGGAUACUAAAUAUCCUACAAAGCACAGGACAACCCCACUACAACAAAGAAUUAUCUUGCCUGAAAUGCUGAAAGUGCUAAGGUUAAGAAAUCCUGCUUUUCUCAAAAGACCUGUGACCACCGAGUUACAACAACAGAAAGUGAACCAACAUCAUCAUACUUUGCAGUAAUUCAGGAGGACCUAGACUAAAGUCACACUGGGCAAUAAAAAAGUCAUAACACAGAUUGAAGAGUGAUAUGAGCUUAAUGUUAAUACACAGGGACAAUAUUCAGUCUCCCCUAGAGUUCUGCAAUGUUAAUUAUCCAAAACAUUACAUAAUUGCAAGAGAGAUAAAGUAAUCUGGAUUAAAAAUAGGAAGAAUAUAAUUAACCGUA